rnacentral:rRNA from 1 species
GAUGAACGCUGGCGGCGUGCCUAAUACAUGCAAGUCGAGCGAACGGACGAGAAGCUUGCUUUUCUGAUGUUAGCGGCGGACGGGUGAGUAACACGUGGAUAACCGACCUAUAAGACUGGGAUAACUUCGGGAAACCGCAGCUAAUCUCGGAUAAUAUUUUGAACCGCAUGGUUCAAAAGUGAAAGACGGUCUUGCUGUCACUUAUAGAUGGAUCCGCGCUGCAUUAGCUAGUUGGUAAGGUAACGGCUUACCAAGGCAACGAUGCAUAGCCGACCUGAGAGGAUGAUCGGCCACACUGGAACUGAGACACGGUCCAGACUCCUACGGGAGGCAGCAGUAGGGAAUCUUCCGCAAUGGGCGAAAGCCUGACGGAGCAACGCCGCGUGAGUGAUGAAGGUCUUCGGAUCGUAAAACUCUGUUAUUAGGGAAGAACAUAUGUGUGAGUAACUGUGCACAUCUUGACGGUACCUAAUCAGAAAGCCACGGCUAACUACGUG